rnacentral:rRNA from 1 species
AUUGAACGCUGGCGGCAUGCUUUACACAUGCAAGUCGAACGGUAACAGGCCGCAAGGUGCUGACGAGUGGCGAACGGGUGAGUAAUGCAUCGGAACGUGCCCAGUCGUGGGGGAUAACGCAGCGAAAGCUGUGCUAAUACCGCAUACGAUCUAUGGAUGAAAGCGGGGGACCGUAAGGCCUCGCGCGAUUGGGGCGGCCGAUGUCAGAUUAGGUAGUUGGUGGGGUAAAGGCUCACCAAGCCAACGAUCUGUAGCUGGUCUGAGAGGACGACCAGCCACACUGGGACUGAGACACGGCCCAGACUCCUACGGGAGGCAGCAGUGGGGAAUUUUGGACAAUGGGCGCAAGCCUGAUCCAGCUAUGCCGCGUGCAGGAAGAAGGCCUUCGGGUUGUAAACUGCUUUUGUACGGAACGAAACGGUCUGGGUUAAUACCUCGGGCUAAUGACGGUACCGUAAGAAUAAGCACCGGCUAAAUACGUGCCAGCCGCCGCAGUAA